GGUCCUAGGAGUCAGUCCUCACUCCUGCUGUGGUGAGUCUGCAGGGUGAAAUCUCUUUGCCAAGGAAUUCAACAAGAACUGCAGAAAAGGAUCUGGCUUUCUUCUCCAACCUGAGUGUCUGAGGCUUCACCUGCCCUCCCUCAUCCUCUGCCUACCCCCUUCUUCUGUCUGAAUCUUGCACCUGUUCUGACUCGCCAGCCAGGUGAAGUGGAUCUUCUGUCCUUACGCUGUUAUUUCAGCUGACCACAGCUGGAGGGCAAUUAGGAACCCAGUCUAUUCAUUUGACUGGAUUGCCGCUUUGCUCCGUAUCUCUCUCUCUCUCUCUGUCUCUCUAUAGCCCACCCCCCUUCCCUCCCUGUCUAUCUCUACCCACCUCCCACUCCAUCUCUGUCUAGCCCAGUCUGAGCCUGGUUGACACUGUAGCUGUGGGUACGUGUGGAGCUGCAGAGAUUUCCCUGUUGGAGUUGAAGUGUAGAUUCCAUGGAAAGGACACAGUGGAAGAAAAAGGGUGAAAUAUAAACCUUGAGGAUAAAUUGGAUUUAGCAUUGGUCAGCUGAGGCAGAAAGUUACACUCCAAACCAAAGGAUUCUGCACUUGGAAGAGCAGCAGGUAUGAAAAGCAAGACUGUGGUUGCAUCUGUGGCUCUGCUGGGCUUGUGCUGCUGCCUGCUGAUCCCCAGAGGAGGAGAGAGCGCUGGGGGUAUAGUUUAUCUCCAACAGACUGAAGGGAAGCAGCAGGCAGGGGAUCUCCUGCAGGAUGAGUCCCUGGACGACCCAGAAAGGGAGCAAAGUCUUGCUGAGGGCCCACACCCACUGGAAAGCAGCAAUAAGGCCAAGAGAGACACAGAGGGAGCUGCACAGGCAGGAAUUUUGAGCAGGGUGAGGAGAGCACCAGAUGAAGGCAAAAAAAAGAAGGACAAGAAGAAGAACAAAGAGCCAAAGGGCCCCAAAGCUACUAAAAAGCCCAAAGCCGACAAGAAGGGAAAGAAGAAGGACAAGCAGACGACUACCACACCACCGCCCACCACAACUCUACCACCAACCACAACAGCUUUCCCGACUGAACCACCCACAGAACCAGAGACUUACACAGACUACCCCUAUCCUGAUAUCGAUGAUUACUGGAAACCAGAGGAUGACUACUGGGAAGCUGAACACGCACCAUCCAGGCCUCAGCCUGAGACUCUGAUCACAGAUCCUCCCUACGACUACUGGAAGCCAGAGGAGGAAGACCCAACUGCUCCUGUUACAGACCGCUAUGAUGACUACUGGAAACCUGAGGAGAAAGAACCAACUGCUCCUGUUACAGACCGCUAUGAUGACUACUGGAAACCUGAGGAGAAAGAACCAACUGCUCCUGUUACAGACCGCUAUGAUGACUACUGGAAACCUGAGGAGGAAGAACCAUACACGCCUCUGACUGAUAACUAUGACAGCUACUGGAAAGAGGUGGAACCGACGGCUCCUGCCCCCGAGGGUGAUGGGAAGACUGGGACAGAUGACAGUGAUUACUGGGACGCCACAUUUGAGGUGCCAGAUAAUCUUCCAUUCCCUGAUGGCAAAGAGGUCAGCCCUGAAAUCAUAGUGGAAACUCUGCCAGAAGAGCACACAGCCGCUCCUCCUUAUGAAGGGACGUGGUAUGACGAUUAUGACGAAUACGGAAUGAGUAUGCAGAUACACACAAAAACAUAACUAUACCCAAACGUUUUACAUCACACCCACUGGUUAAGUUGUAGUGACACUUCUGCCAACAAAGCAACAGCACAGAAAAAAGAAUGAACAAGAGUCAUAACUUUCCUCAGCUUUCGUAAAAGAUCCUUGUGAUCAAACAAAUUCAGGAAGGCAGGCAUACAACUUGCUGCACGUGGUGCCGGUGUAUAUUAGAUAUUUUUCUAAAAUUAACCACAAUUCUUUCCAGGGAGGAAAGAGGACGAGACGGAUGAAAAAUGGAUGGAGAAAGAACGAGAAAGAGCAGAAAAAGAGAGAGAGAGGCAAGAGAAGGGUAAGAAAACCCAGAUGUGGAUAGUUUUUGUUUCUUACAUAACAGCUCACUGUACAAUCUUGUCAAAUAAAAUGUGAUACUGUUGUUGCCAAAGCAAAGGCCGAGGCCUGUAACCUAAGUGCAUAAGUACCAGCAGAUCAAAGGUCUUUGUUUGUAAGGCAAUGCAGAUAUGA
ensembl:lncRNA